rnacentral:rRNA from 1 species
GACGAACGCUGGCGGCGUGCCUAAUACAUGCAAGUCGAACGCUGAAGGAGGAGCGUGCGCUUCUGGAUGAGUUGCGAACGGGUGAGUAACGCGUAGGUAACCUGCCUGGUAGCGGGGGAUAACUAUUGGAAACGAUAGCUAAUACCGCAUAAGAGUAGAGGUUGCAUGACAUUUACUUAAAAGGUGCAAUUUCAUCACUACCAGAUGGACCUGCGUUGGAUUAGCUAGUUGGGGGGGUAACGGCUUACCAAGGCGACGAUACAGAGCCGACCUGUGGGGGGGAUCGGCCACACUGGGACUGAGACACGGCCCAGACACCUCCGGGAGGCAGCAGUAGGGAAGCUGCGGCAAUGGACGGAAGUCUGACCGAGCCACGACGCGGGAGUGCCGAAGGGUUUCGGAUCGUCAAGCUCUGUUGUAAGUGAAGAACGAGUGUGAGAGUAGAAAGUUCACACUGUGGCGGUAUCUUAUCAGAAAGAGACGGCUAACUACGUG